UAACUCGACCUCCUACCCUCAUUUUCGUUGUUGCAGCUUGGUUCUCCAUACAAAGUCCCAGUUUUCUAUUGCUCUCUCUCUUCACAAGUUUCUCUCAGAGAAUAGGGUAUGAAUCUUUGCGUCUCUUAACUGAAAUAAACCUAUGAAAAUUAGCUUCUUUCUCGAUUGGGGAUUAAUUUGUCAGGUCAUGAAAUUGGAGGUGAGGGUUCUGUUUUUCAAUUUGACAUUUUUCUUGUAUGUUUAAUCAUAGUUUACAUGUAUGAUUGAAACCAUUAGAGCAGGACGGAGGCUCAGUACAUCACCAUGAAAACGUCAGAGUGGUGGGACAUAGAACUUCCUGAUCCCUUUGGCGACAGCCACGCCAUUGCCCAGAACAUGAAGCCAGUCAUCGUCAAAUUGAACUACAACGAUCCAUUCUCAACCUCCCGCUACGGCGACACCUAAAUCGCAUCGCCCUCAAUCACAUUCUAGCAGGUCUAUCCAGAAGCGACACACCUAAUAAUUCCAUGGUUUUGAGAGGCCAAUCAUCUAUGAUGUCCACGCACAACCCCAUUUCGUGGACAGCACUGCUGGAAGCUGUGACCUCUAGAUGACUGUUAGUAGGGAAAUUCAGAAGAUUUUGACAAAGAGGGCAGCCAAGUUCAAUAUUGCAAUGGAUAAUGUAGUUGGUUGCUAAUAUGUUUAUGGACUAGCCUUUGUAGGUUUUGGGGUUUUAUUUUGUGAAUUAUGUAGAAUCA